GAGUUUGAUCAUGGCUCAGAUUGAACGCUGGCGGCAUGCCUUACACAUGCAAGUCGAACGGCAGCACGGGGGCUUGCUCCUGGUGGCGAGUGGCGAACGGGUGAGUAAUGCAUCGGAACGUAUCCUGGAGUGGGGGAUAACGUAGCGAAAGUUACGCUAAUACCGCAUAUUCUGUGAGCAGGAAAGCGGGGGACCUUCGGGCCUCGCGCUCUUGGAGCGGCCGAUGUCGGAUUAGCUAGUUGGUGAGGUAAAGGCUCACCAAGGCGACGAUCCGUAGCAGGUCUGAGAGGAUGAUCUGCCACACUGGAACUGAGACACGGUCCAGACUCCUACGGGAGGCAGCAGUGGGGAAUUUUGGACAAUGGGGGCAACCCUGAUCCAGCCAUGCCGCGUGAGUGAAGAAGGCCUCGG
rnacentral:rRNA from 1 species